GAACAUCAGAACAAAGGGAUUACAUACAUAUAAAGCACGCUUUCCAUUGCCAUCGAAGCGUUACACCCCUUCUCCUGCACCAGGGCCCCAACAGAGCCCCCUUCUGGGUGGGCUCCCAGGGAGCUUUUUACUGAUUGGACAGCAAGCUGCAUGCUUGCGGCUGGCUCAGCUGAACGCCCACCUUACUUUGACACAGAUAAAUAAUGCUGUUGCUGUUGGUGGUCGAACCAACACACACGCCCCAUUUAUACCCACAACACCCCCCUGCCCGACAGCUGCAGCCAUCAGUCUACUGAACCUUCUGAAGGUUGCUAACACCAUGUCCCAUCCCUUAUAUAACCCCUAUGCCUCUGGGAAUCAAAGUUCAGCCCAGGGGCGCUAUGGACAGUCCAGUAUGCAGGCAGAGAGAGACUCUCAUAAGACAUCUCCUCAUCUUGGGCCUGGGUCCAGCUUUAGCUCUUCUGGAGUUUCAUCUGCGACUCCUGCAAAAUCUGGGGGAAUAAUGAGCUACAGGCCAGAAGGGAGUAAGACUUCAAUGGAAGAGGACAUAAAGAGGUCCAUAGACAUGCAUAUAAGCAGAGCCAGAGAGGAGGUGAGAAAUCAGCCUGUAAAAAAGAACAGUCGUUUUACCAGCACUCAAAGAGAUGAGUAUGAUUCUUCAGGCAAAGAUGUGACUUCCUACAUGUUGUCCUCAAACUCUCAAAGACCUGAUGUUGCAAGUAGCACUAGCUCCAUGGACUGGUUGCCAAGAUACAAACGGGAAACUGAGGAUGAUUCGUCUAAAUACUGUUCAUCAUCUGCUUCAUUGAGCUAUCAAAGCACUGGCGACAGUAGGUUUAAUGCCUCGAAUGAAAGAGAGCGCAAUGUGCAAUCAAUUCCAGGCUUAGGUGAUUAUGACUACCCAGUGCCAGACAAACCUGUGGGUUCUGCAGAGUCUACUCAUCCCAAGUACACUUCAGAAACAGCUGUGAACAUCCUUAUGCAGUUUGGACUUGAAAAAGAGGACCUGGAACAUCUGAUCUCAUAUCCCGAAGAUCAGAUG
ensembl:lncRNA